rnacentral:rRNA from 1 species
GCACAAGCGGUGGAUGAUGUGGUUUAAUUCGAUGCAACGCGAAAACCUUACCCACCUUUGACAUGGCAGGAAGUUUCCAGAGAUGGAUUCGUGCUCGAAAGAGAACCUGCACACAGGUGCUGCAUUGGCUGUCGUCAGCUCGUGUCGUGAGAUGUUGGGUUAAGUCCCGCAACGAGCGCAACCCUUGCCAUCAGUUGCUACGAAAGGGCACUCUGAUGGGACUGCCGGUGACAAACCGGAGGAAGGUGGGGAUGACGUCAAGUCCUCAUGGCCCUUAUAGGUGGGGCUACACACGUCAUACAAUGGCCGGUACAAAGGGCAGCAAACCCGCGAGGGGGAGCCAAUCCAUCAAAGCCGGUCGUAGUCCGGAUCGCAGUCUGCAACUCGACUGCGUGAAGUCGGAAUCGCUAGUAAUCGCGGAUCAGAAUGUCGCGGUGAAUACGUUCCCGGGUCUU